rnacentral:rRNA from 1 species
AAAAACAAGUCUAUGUGGAGGUGUACAUAGUUUAGUCUGCUCACUGAAUUAAAUUUAAAGAGCCGCAGUAUUUUGACUGUGCGAAGGUAGCAUAAUAGAUUGUCUUUUAAAUGGAGGCUAGAAUGAACGGUUGGACAAAGUAUCAUCUGUUUCUUUAAUAAUUAUUGAAUUUGACUUUUAAGUGAAAAGGCUUAAAUAAAUCAAAAAGACGAUAAGACCCUAUAAAUCUUUACAAAAGAUCCAACAUAAGUUUUUAGCUGGGUGUUUAAUAAAACAUAAGGUGGAGUUUUGUUGCAUUGGGGUGAUGUAGAUAUAUAAAUAAACUGUUUAUAAUUUUAAACCAAUUAAUUAUUGUUUAUUUAGUUUGAUCCUUUGAGAGAUUGAAAGAUUAAGAUACUUUAGGGAUAACAGCGUUAUUUUUUCUGAGAGUUCUUAUCGAAGAAAAAGUUUGCGACCUCGAUGUUGAAUUAAAGUUUCUCUGAGGUGUAGCAGCUUCAAGAGAGAGUCUGUUCGACUUUUAAUACUUUACAUGAUUUGAGUUCAGACCGGCGUGAGCCAGG